CCUACGGGUGGCAGCAGUAGGGAAUCUUCCACAAUGGGCGAAAGCCUGAUGGAGCCACGCCGCGUGGGUGAAGAAGGUCUUCGGAUCUUAAAACCCCGUUGUUAGAGAAGAAAGUGCGUGAGCGUAACUGUUCACGUUUCGACGGUAUCUAAACAGAAAGCCUCGGCUAACUACGUGCCAGCAGCCGAGGUAAUACGUAGGUGCGAAGCGUUAUCCGGUUUUAUUGGGAGGAAAGGGAACGCAGGCGGUCUUUUAGGGCUGAUGUGAAAGCCGUCGGCUUAACCGGGGUAGUGCAUUGGAAACUGGGGGACUUGAGUGCAGAAGAGGAGAGUGGAACU
rnacentral:rRNA from 1 species